GGCAGGCGCAGCUACCAUGCAGUCGAGCGGUAACAGAUCCAGCUUGCUGGAUGCUGACGAGCGGCGGACGGGUGAGUAAUGCAUAGGAAUCUGCCCGAUAGUGGGGGAUAACCUGGGGAAACCCAGGCUAAUACCGCAUACGUCCUACGGGAGAAAGGGGGCUUCGGCUCCCGCUAUCGGAUGAGCCUAUGUCGGAUUAGCUAGUUGGUGAGGUAAAGGCUCACCAAGGCAACGAUCCGUAGCUGGUCUGAGAGGAUGAUCAGCCACAUCGGGACUGAGACACGGCCCGAACUCCUACGGGAGGCAGCAGUGGGGAAUAUUGGACAAUGGGGGCAACCCUGAUCCAGCCAUGCCGCGUGUGUGAAGAAGGCCCUCGGGUUGUAAAGCACUUUCAGCGAGGAAGAACGCCUAGCGGUUAAUACCCGCUAGGAAAGACAUCACUCGCAGAAGAAGCACCGGCUAACUCCGUGCCAGCAGCCGCGGUAAUACGGAGGGUGCAAGCGUUAAUCGGAAUUACUGGGCGUAAAGCGCGCGUAGGUGGCUUGAUAAGCCGGUUGUGAAAGCCCCGGGCUCAACCUGGGAACGGCAUCCGGAACUGUCAAGCUAGAGUGCAGGAGAGGAAGGUAGAAUUCCCGGUGUAGCGGUGAAAUGCGUAGAGAUCGGGAGGAAUACCAGUGGCGAAGGCGGCCUUCUGGACUGACACUGACACUGAGGUGCGAAAGCGUGGGUAGCAAACAGGAUUAGAUACCCUGGUAGUCCACGCCGUAAACGAUGUCGACCAGCCGUUGGGUGCCUAGCGCACUUUGUGGCGAAGUUAACGCGAUAAGUCGACCGCCUGGGGAGUACGGCCGCAAGGUUAAAACUCAAAUGAAUUGACGGGGGCCCGCACAAGCGGUGGAGCAUGUGGUUUAAUUCGAUGCAACGCGAAGAACCUUACCUACUCUUGACAUCCUGCGAAUUCGGUAGAGAUGCCUUAGUGCCUUCGGGAACGCAGAGACAGGUGCUGCAUGGCUGUCGUCAGCUCGUGUUGUGAAUGUUGGGUUAAGUCCCGUAACGAGCGCAACCCUG
rnacentral:rRNA from 1 species